CCAGCCUAGGAGAGACCAUCAAGAUCACCUGCUCAGGGGCUAGCAGCAGCUAUCCUUAUUCUGGCUGGUACCAGCAGAAGGUCCCUGGCAGUGCCCCUGUCACUGUGAUCUACUGGAAUGACGAGAGACCCUCGAACAUCCCUUCGCGAUUCUCCGGAUCCUUGUCCGGCUCCACGGCCACAUUAACCAUCACUGGGGUCCAAGCCGAGGACGAGGCUGUCUAUUUCUGUGGUAGCAGGGACAGCAGCAGUGCUGAUCAGCUCGGUGGAGGCACUGACUCUGGCAUUCUGCCUCCUCUUACUGCUGCCAUUUCUCCUUGCAGGACCCUCACACCUUGGGUUCUUUAUGGGUGGCUCUGGGCUCAUCCAUCGCACUAGGGGACCUUUGGGCACAAGGCCCCAGUCCCGAUGCCCUGGGGAGGGCUGUGCUCCUGGGACAAUGGCUGAGGCCCCUCAUCUUCCCUCACUCUCUGUGUUCCGGGCUCCAGGAAGCAUUGCUAAGUCCACUGUCCUUGGUGCCAGCACACCUGGGAUCUCCUGUUGCAGGGGUAGCAACAGCUUGUAUGGCUGGUACCAGCAGAAGGUCCCUGGCAGUGCUCCUGUCACUGUGAUCUAUGACACUGACACCAGACCCUCGGACAUCCCUUCGCGAUUCUCCGGAUCCUGGUCUGACAACACGGGCACGUUAACCAUCACUGGGGUCCAAGCCAAGGACGAGGCUCUCGGUCACUGCAAUGCCCAGGAGGGCAGUGCUGGUUGGCAUCCAAGUGCCCCAUAGUGUGGCCAUGCUUGGGUGCUCUGGGAUGACUGUUGCUGUUUGCUUUGUGUGAGUGGCAUCGAUCCUUCUGCUGGUGCUGGAGGGUAUGGAAGUGUCACAGCUCCUGGAUAAUGCACAACUGUGACCGGGUACUUCUCCCCACAAAUACCAUGGCCAGGAAUCUCUGGACCUGGUGGGAGCUGUGGCAGAGGUGACAGGCAGCAAGGGCAAAGUCCUGUGCCAGACUGUGGUCUCAGUUCCUCCAGUGCUGUCCCUGAGGCCCUUCUUGUCCCCACACGGUGUCAGUGUGGUUCCACUGCACAGUCUGAGGUUCACAGGGCUGCCAGGAGGCAAAGGGGCUGUGGACAACCAGGUGCCAGUGUGUAACACUGUGGUGCAGAGCAGCCCCCACUGGCUCCUUUGGAGGCUGCCCUGGGCUGUGUGGUGGGCAGACAGCAGAGGGGCUGCCCCAGGCUGGACAAGAGUGGGAGGAUGCUGUGGGCAGUUAAUUGAUAUGAACUCCAAGUGGCUGUGAGGCCACUUGAGACCCCCAGCUUUGAAUAUGGAGGACCUGGGGGCUUGUGUUUCCUUCCUGUUGAGUAGCCUUGAAGCUCCUGGUCUUGGUGUGGCUCUACUGCCCUUCCACAGUCCCACUUCUCUGCUUGAAGGUUCCCUUGUGGCAAUUAAGAGAGGCCCAGUGUAAGCACCUGGUUUGAAGCAGGACCUGGUUUGCCCAGCUCCUGUGUCACUGCUGCUGAUCAGUGCACAGGGACGUGGAGCUGGUGGGAUCACACCAUGGCCUGGGUCCCUCUCCUCCUCGCGGUGCUCACCUACACCUCAGGUUCCCUGGUCCAGGCAGCGCUGACUCAGUCACCUCCGAUGUCGGUCAAAGUGGGAGACACCGUCAAGAUCACCUGCUCUGGGAGUAGCAGCAGCUGGGGUUAUGCUGCCUGACACUACCUGGCACUGCCCCUGUCACUGUGAUCUAUCGCAACAGCAACAGACCCUCGGACAUCCCUCCGCGAUUCUCCGGAUCCGAGUCCGACUCCACGGGCACAUUAACCAUCACUGGGGUCCAAGCCGAGGACGAGGCUGUCUAUUUCUGUGGUGGCUACGACAGCAGCAGUGGCAGCAGCUAUGGUGUGUUUUGACAACAAGCACCAGGAAGUGAGGCAGACUCCAAAAUGAGAGGAAAGAUUUUAGCCCCUGUCCCUCCUUUCUGAAUGUGGGGCUGAGGCAGGUUCCUGUCCCUUCUGCACAGCCACAACAGGGAAUGUUGUUUCUUUCUUGUCCCAGAGAAUGGGAGAUCACAUGGUGGCUGGGGACCAUUGUCCUGGUCCCUAUAAAACUCAUGGUGUAGUUGUGUUCCUCACCCCACUGUGUCUUGCUACUGAUGACCAUGUCCUCCUGCUUCUGCCAGGGCUCUCUCUGUGCUGGGAUGCGUUGGGCUGGGCUCUGCUCCACAGUUUCCCUGUGACCAUGUCCGUGUGUGUUCUCCUCUGACUGUGGUAUUCC